rnacentral:rRNA from 1 species
CCCUUAGAUGUUCUGGGCCGCACGCGCGCUACACUGAUGCAUUCAACGAGUCUAAAACCUGCUCUGAUAGGGGUGGGUAAUCUUUUGAAUGUGCAUCGUGAUUGGGAUAGAUGAUUGCAAUUUUUCAUCUUCAACGAGGAAUGCCUAGUAAACGCAAGUCAUCAGCUUGCAUUGAUUACGUCCCUGCCCUUUGUACACACCGCCCGUCGCUCCUACCGAUUGAAUGAUCCGAUGAAUAUCAUGGAUUGAGGAUGCAAGUAGGUUAGCCUAUCUUCAUCUUCGAGAAGUGAAGUAAAUCUUAUCAUUUAGAGGGAGGAGAAGUCGUAACA